GUCCCGGAAGGGGCGGAGCUGACAGCAGUAAGGGGCCGGAAGCCGGAAGUGCGGGGUUUGGCGACAGAGGACCAGAAGGGGCGGAGGGGUGAGGGUUGAGGCUGCAAAGAGCGGGGCCUGACAAAGCGCGAGGUAGUGUCAGAAAGGGCCGGUCUGAAGGAAAGCAGGUGUCCUCGGACGCAGAAUAAUUGCCCGUCGGAUAGAAGACGGAGGGACUGAAACGAAUAGGAACAGGUUGGGCCAAGAGAAGGCGGAAUUCAGAGAGAAGCGAGUGCGGAGGCGUGUCCUUGGGGAAGAGGAGGAGGAAAGUGGACAGGCGGGAGAGGUCGCUGCUGUGGAAGACUUUCCCCGAGAAGCUCAGGCCAGAGAACUCCAGGGUCACCCAGGGUCGUUCUUUCCAGGCUGCCAGUGCCCAGUAGAUGGUAGAAACAAAUUUGGGGGCGCAGCUAACGUGAUCUUCUACCAUCAGAAAGUAUUCAGAGAGGCUGACGGCGAAGUUCAUGAGGAGGGCGUAGUCGACUUUCUGCCUGGAAUAAACAGCUUCACAGGGUGAGGAGUCAUUGAUGUUGCCCCGCUCUCCUGGGACAAGAGAGCCACUGAAAUGACCGUGGAGCACAAGCAGCUUCUGGGCCUCAAGAUGAGGUUGGAAGAGGCCUGAUAUGUUGGCGACCAUUUGGCUGAGCCAUGCAGGGUCAGGAUCUGACAGGUGGACCAGCACCACGAUACAGUCCAGCUCAGACUCUGAGGAGGCUUGGAACAGAGACUGCAGGGUGUGCAAGAGGGUGCUCCCAUGAGGACGCUGCACUGAGGAGAUCCCCACCGUCAGUAGUUCUGCGGGGGGAGGCACAGGGCACCAUUAGCACUCGAGGUGGUGACAAGACCCUCCGCCCCUCUCUCCUCAAUGCCAACCCCUGGGGACAAAGUCACAUUUCCUUUCCCUUGGAGAGUGUGGUUAGGUGAGAGAUUGAUCUUUGGUCAGAUUGUGAAGUGGGUUUAUUUGAUCUCUACUUUGCAAGGUCGUUGGAGGUCAAGGCUCUCUGAUGGGGAGGCUGCCCUGUACCAAAGGGAAAUCUGCUGGCGUGGCAUAUGAGCCGGGACCUCAGACCUGGAUGGCAGGGUCUGCAGGGACAGAGGAACCAGAGGGCUCUCGUAGUACAGUGCCCAGGGGGCUGGCACCCAUCACAUUCAUCUCCCUCUGGGUCCUCCCCCUCCCUCUUCCCUCAGUCUGACCUCUCUCCCGCGCACUCACUCUUCUCCUGGGGAAGGGCUCCGGCCAGGACUUUGUAGCUGGUGAGCUGGAGCACAGGGGAGCGUCUCUGCAUCUCCUUGAAGGUCUCCAAGUGGCUCUUGUGUUCAGAGCUGAUUUGCUCCUGGUCCAGCUGCUGCAGCAUUUUCUUCUUUUCCUCCUGCUGAGGAUGGGUAAGCAUCAGCCCUGAGCUUCACCCCAGCUCCUCUGGAGACACAUGAGGGCAAAUCUUCCUUCUAGGACAGACCAAGUAAGCCCCAGGAUCCAGUCACCAGGGAGCUUGAGUAUCGGGGCUCAGUGAAGCACUGUCCCCACCUCAUCAUGAGAAAACCCAUGGUGCUGGAAGGGGUGGUGGGCCUUGGAGUCGGGGAAGUGGGGCUCUCCAGUUCUGUGUGGAAUGCCUGUGGGAAGGUCCCAGGCUUCUGCAGGGUUAGAACCUGCCUGCCCCACCUUGCCCAGGUCUAAUUUCUCCACCAUUACCGGCUGGCAGAGCCCCUGACUCUGCUUGGCCUGUGCUGGCUGCUGGGACAGCUGCUGAAGACCGGGCUGUCUUGUCCUGAAGGAAGGACACCUGGUGCCUCAAUUCUAAAGGCCUUUCUUCGCUCAGUUCUGGCCGCACACUUCUCCACAGCCACCUCCCCCUCUGCUCUAGCCGGUCGGAGGCACGUGGGGAGAAGGUGGACCCCAGAACCUGAGCAUGACCUCCACUGCAGACGCUGUGCAUGUGGGAGGAGUCAUCUUAGGGCUUGAGUCUGUCCCUGAAGGGAGGGUGGGAGGAGCACCGUCUCCUGAGGUGAGGAGAGGGCAGCAGGGCCGCCUAGAAGGUCUGGGCAAGGCUCUCCACACGUAGAAUGCCCUCUUCCUCCCUCACCCUGUGCAAAUCCUGGCCAUAUUCAAGGCGGGGUUAAUACCUUUUUUUGACACGUUCCUGAACCUUCAAGUGCCCUCUUCUUAGAACUUCUAUGGUGAUGCUUGCAUGUUUGCAUAACUGGACAUAUUUCCUCCCUGCCGAAGUGUUGGCAAGUAAUCCCUCCCAAUUUCUGGAACUUACCAAAGACACGCUGUACUCAAGGCGCUUGUUCCUAUUGUCCUGGAGGAAGAAGCUCAGGGAGACGAGGGACACGGCCAGGAGGGAGGAUCUCCACAGCGUCAUGGUGCUGGGCCUGGCACUUGGCAGGAAGUGAGCAGGAGUUGGAUCCGAGUGAGAGAAGCCAGGCGUGUCCUCCUGUUUCCUGCGGCCUCCCCUCCCUGCCCCCACCCUUGCUCCUGGACACCUCUGCCAAUUUACUUCCUAAAUCUUUUCCACCCACUUUGGCCCCCCCUCUACACUCCCCCCAGUAUAGCCAUCUAAGGAGAGACAAAGGUCAUGGAGUUUGGUUCUGUUCAGCUGCUGCUGCUUCAGCUCCUGUCUGGGUCUCCAGGUGGACCUGGAGCACAUUGGUGUAGCCCCUUGGAGUAGAGGCACCACCAGCGGGGAUGUGUUGCCAGAAAUCAAGGGUUAGGUGUUAGCUCCCUAAACUCAAACUUGAGUUAAAGUCUCCACUGGGGGUUAUUUCAGACAGAUUACGAGGUUUUGAAUCAAGUCAGAAGGAUCAAGGGAAACUCUUGCGUGUCUCCCCCACCCUGGACUGGUAGGAAGGAUGGAAACCUAGAAGUGGCUGGAAAUUUCUAACCCUGUGGAAGUCUUGACCAGGUUUGCAGAGCCACAGCGAUGGGAGGCUUUGUGUCUAACAGAAAAUGUGGCUUGAUAAACCAGCAGAGAGCAGGGAUUUCUCUGAAAUCACAGAGAAAAAAACUUCAAUGCUGCAGGGUGGGAGCCCAGAGUGGCUCCUCUGAGGCAGCAGAAACUAGUCACCAUCCCAGGAGACCCUCCCUGACAACCAUUGUUCACCCUGAAUGGGGACUGCUCACAUCAAGCACCUGUUUCUGGAUACAGUGGGAAUAAGGGUUUAAAGCCAGCUUUCCAGUCUUAUCUCAACCGAGAAGCUGAAAAUUAACUGUCAGCUUGAAUCAAAUCAACAAGGGUGGAUAUUGAGUGAUCGCUUCCCUAUUAGAGGGCCCCAUACGGCUCCUGGAGGAACCAUCCAUGUUACAGGAUAUCCAGUUAUAGGGCAUGUGCUCUGACUGGGAAUCGAACUGGUGACCUCCUUAAAUGUCUGGGUGUUUCCCUUUCCCCAGCUUACAGUUACCCAAGUACAUGUCUGUAAGGCGCUGUGGUGGUGGUGGUAGGGUGUCUGGGGAAUCUUACAGGAUUUGUGUCUCAGGGACCUUCCUUCUAGGGACCUGCCCACCUCUUCCAUCAGUGCACAUGGACCUGAAAAUUGGCUGAGAUCCAGAACCAGGCAAGGGAUUGACUUAUUGGGGUGACUGUCCUCAACCUCCUGCCCCUCCAUUUUUGCCUUUUGUGGUUGUCGUCUCCCUACCUACUUUACCCACAGUGGUGAUGUUCUGUUAACCUAUUUUAGCCUCUAUUUCCACAGCUACCUGAGCAUCAUGAGGAAACCAGUCCCAAAUCCUCACCUUGCUGUCCAUUUCCCCAGGGUACUCUCAGCACCCCGUGUCAGUUCACACCUGCCAAACUGCUGACAGGAACAUGGGAUUAUACGUCCCAGAGCUUCAUUAGUGGAAGGGAGGAGGCCGGGAAAGGCUUCAGAUUGCCGUCAAGGUCUGACAAGGGUGGGAGGUGACGAAGGAGGUCUUGGCCAGGAAGCCCCGGACUGCAGUGUGGUUCUGGGAGUUUAAACAGGCUGAGGUCACCUGUCAGAGGCACCCUCCAUCUUGCCAGAAUGGGCUCUCCACCAGGGGGGACCGUUCUGUGGAGAGCGUGGCCUUGCCACCAACACUGCGGUGGAUCCUGUGGCGGCCUGAUGCUCAGAGCUGCUCCCUCCUGCCCUUAUUUGUCCCCCAUCCUCUCCUUGUUUUAGUCCCACAUCCUGUUUCCAGGCUCUCCGGCUCCUGCAUCUACUUGGGUUACAGCUCAUUGGGACACACUGGCUGGCUUUUGAUUUGGGUUCUUCCCAAAUAUCCCUCUUAGAGUUCUCCUUUCCUUUCCUCCUCUCCCUGCUUUCACGGAUUAUAGUCAAGCUAGUGAGAACCAGACACUGCACAUUAGCUGAACUCAGGGCUCAGAUUUUUCUGGAAAUAAAGAUCUCAUAGCUGCCGAAACCGGUUUGGCUCAGUGGAUAGAGCAUUGGCCUGCGGACUGAAAGGUCCCGGGUUCGAUUCCGGUCAAGGGCAUGUACCUGGGUUGCGGGCACAUCCCCAGUAGGAGAUGUGCAGGAGGCAGCUGAUCGAUGUUUCUCUCUCAUCGAUGUUUCUAACUCUCUAUCUCUCUCCCUUCCUCUCUGUAAAAAAUCAAUAAAAUAUAUUUAAAAAAAAAAAAGAUCUCAUAGCCAAACUGAACUAAAAAAAAUUAGUAACAUAUCCAAAGGUUUUCCUAUCAGAAACCUAUGUUACCUUAUAGUCCCGGAGAUAAGACUGCUGGACAGGAGCUAUCACAGAUCAGAACAAGUGAUUUUCAGCAAUUUGGAGGCUGUCGGAAAAGGAAUACCUGACAUGCAGGGUGACCAUGGAGAAGAGGACUCUGCCUGACCAUAAAGGGUAGUAGUGUGCAUCGAAUGACCACCUUUAAUGGGAAAUGAGACCACAGAACACACAGUCGUGUUUCUUUCCUGCCACACAGGAAGUUCCGCCUUUAAUGAGUCCAUUUCUGCUGGUGGAGAGACCCCUGUCCCGUCGUGAUAUGAGCAUCAUUCAGUCCUACCCACGUGCUCCUACUGUUCCUUCGAAUCUGGUGUUUCUGCUCCAAGGGAAGAAUUCCGAAUGGUAGACCUGGUGAGUAAACCAGGAAGGCUUUUAACAAGCCCACCUCGUCCACCAGUGGUUCUGGGACCAAGAGUCCGUGACCUUCACUCUGCCUUUCAACACGCAUCUCUUCUGAACGAACAACCCUGAAAGGACCCAAGUUCAACAUUUUAACCUUUUGUUUGUUUAACCGCUGUAGACUCUAACCUCCAAUCUGACCACUCCCACAACUCCUGGUGGCUUCUCCAUUUAUCACUUAAACCUCACUUGGUCCAGAGGUGGAUGUGCCUGACCACUAUUCCAGAGGGAGCAGCGGCUGUCACAAGCAGUCUCACACAUUUCACCUUCUUCCCAGACGUGGGAGACAACACCUGCUUGUUCAGGACGCCACUUACCAGCAGCCCCAGCAGAGUGUAGUCGUCACAGUCACUGACCCUGUUUGUAGAGUCACAGCCCAGUUCUACUUGUCCCUCUUCCAGCUGAUUCCAGCCUCUCGGGUCAGAGCCAGUCAGCACCUGAACUCGGGACACAUGGGCAGGUACAUCCAAAACCACAGUCAGAUGGCUGCCAGGCUCAGCCGACUUGGUGUAAAAGAAAUUUUCAUCCAGGCUGUAGGCGUGCGAGGGAGCAGAGUCGUUGGCAACCUUCAGGCUGGUGUGGAUGGAGGCAGCAGGAUUGCUGGGAGAGCCAGUGUCAUCCUCCUCAAAGGAGGAGGAGUUGCCCACUUGCUGGAAGAGGGAGGGCAGGAACCUGAUUGGUGUGUGCUGCAGCAGGGCCUGAAAGUGGGAGAGGAGGCAGUCCCAGGGCAUUUCUCGGUAGAAGAGGAGAACGAAGUGAAUGAAGCGGGGCAGGUCUCCAGUACGGAAGAGUUUCCCGGUGAGGCCCAGCGGGGAGAACUCCAGGGUCACCCAGGGUCUGUUUGCCCAGGCCGACACUGCAGUAGCUAUCUGGGUGACAAAUCCGGGGGCACAUUUCACAUCAUCCUCGACCAUCAGGAAAUAGUCAGAAUGCUGGGUGGCAAAGUUCAUGAGGAAGGCAUAGUCCAUGUUUUGCCUGGAGUGGAAGGCUGCGUGGACAGGAGGGUCAUUAAAGGUCACUUUAAGAUCCUUCAAAGGAAGAUAGCUUGUGAGAGGAGUAGUGAUCACCACCAGCUCUCUGGCCUGUAUGUGUGGUUUAAACAUGGCUGAGAGGUUGUAGAUCAUCUGAACAAGCCAUUUGGGGUCAGGACCUGCUAGGUGUACCAGAACGGUGAAGUGUUUCCGCUCGGAUGAGGAGGAAGCAAAGAAGAGAGACUGCAGGGUGUCCACGAGGUGGCUCCCUUCAGGACGCUGCCCGGAGGAAAUCCCUACGGUCAGCAGUUCUAGGGGUGGGGAGAAGAGAGGACCUUUGUCAGCUUACAGAAGUGAGAAACAUAGUUGCUAUGGGUGAGGUUAUAAUACUCGCAGGUCUUUCCAUACACCAACUUAAUGUCCUUCUGUGGUUAUUGUACAUUUUCUCCCCCAAGCCUAAGCAUGGACAAUGUUCGGAGUUAAUAAUCUGGUCACAAGUUGUGAGUUAAAAAAAAAAUCAUUACCUUUGAGGAACUAUUGUUGGAGAAAUAAAAGAUGAUAAACUAAAAACAUUUGCAUUUAUGUCUCCUCAACCAGAGUCCCACUGAAAAACCAGAAAGCUUGCCAUUAGAGAACCGUAAUAUUUGCAGAAUUCCUAGAAGACAGAGAAUAUGGAACGGGGUGGUGAAAAAGUCUAAGUAGAAGAAUUCAUAGUUCAGAAGACACACAGAGAAAACAAAUGCAGAGAUUUAGUUUCAUACUGAAAGCCUCAGUGGAAUUCUAAGUUCGAGCCACCAAACGACAGGUAUGAGCCCUGGGAUGGUCACCUGGAUUAUCAGUCACAGGACUGUUUCCAGAACCACUGGACCACUGACCACUAAGGGGCUGGCUGUGGCAACAUCCAUCGCAGGCGAAAGUGCUACGAUUUUCUAAGUAAAGUGGAAGGUCUGCCCGGGGAGAGCCUAUGGGUGAAUCCUGGGCUGGCGGGAGCCCCAGGACUUGAGCAAGAACUCCAGGCAGCAGCAGGAGGAGAGGGCAGAGCUGACGUGGCUUUUACCUCGAGGAUAAAGCCCUGGGUGUGGCUCCCUGAAGGUGACAUUGAGACGUGGAGAGGCAUCUGUAUAAACUCAUGAAUUUCAUGUUUCAAACCAUGGAAAUUUGAUCCUAUUGAGGCUCAAGUUGUCCUAUCUUUGGCGAACAGCCUUUUGAAGUUGGAUCCUGAGUCUUUUUGAUACAACUUUAGUCAUUUUUUAAGGCUUCCUUGCUAUCUGAGAGGACAUUUCCUGCCUUGGACCUGGAAUCAGCCUGGUUAUUUUUAGUGGAAAACAGUAUUUAUGUAACAAACAACUCAUUUAUAGGCCACUGGAUAGAGCCAAAAUAUAUAUUUCUAAAAAGAUAAAAUACCAUCAUGCAUUCAUACUACUUCAUAGUGCAUUUAAUUAAAAAAGUACAGCAUCAUAGCCAGUGAGGUUUAUAGAAAGUGGGAUUAUUGGUAAC